GACGGAGGGGGCUAGCGUUGUUCGGAAUGACUGGGCGUAAAGGGCGCGUAGGCGGUCGAUCAAGUCAGGCGUGAAAGCCUCGGGCUUAACCCGAGACUGCGCUUGAUACUGGUUGACUUGAGGACGAGAGAGGAAAGUGGAAUUCCGAGUGUAGAGGUGAAAUUCGUAGAUAUUCGGAGGAACAUCAGAGGCGAAGGCGCUUUCUGGCUCGUAACUGACGCUGAGGCGCGAAAAGCGUGGGGAGCAAACAGGG
rnacentral:rRNA from 1 species